rnacentral:rRNA from 1 species
UUUCCGUAGCAAUACGGAGAUGGCGCACGGCGCACGGGUGCGUAACACGUGGGUAAUCUGCCCUCUGAUGGGGAAUAACUCGCCGAAAGGCGAGCUAAUUCCGCAUAACAUUCCUUGGACUCCGGUUCGAGGAUUCAAAGGCGUAAGUCGUCGGAGGUGGAGCCCGCGCACGAUUAGCUAGUUGGUGAGGUAAUGGCUCACCAAGGCUAUGAUCGUUAGCUGGUCUGAGAGGAUGGCCAGCCACACUGGAACUGAGACACGGUCCAGACUCCUACGGGAGGCAGCAGUGGGGAAUCUUGCACAAUGGGCGAAAGCCUGAUGCAGCGACGCCGCGUGGGGGAUGAAGCUUCUCGGAGUGUAAACCCCUUUCGACCGGGACGAAUACCUCGCAAGAGGGGUGACGGUACCGGUAUAAGAAGCCCCGGCUAACUACGUGCCAGCAGCCGCGGUAAGACGUAGGGGGCCAGCGUUGCUCGGAAUUACUGGGUGUAAAGGGUUCGUAGGCGGUGUGGCAAGUCGGGAGUGAAAUCCCUGGGCUUAACCCAGGGGCUGCUUCUGAAACUGCCGUGCUAGAGUGUGGGAGAGGCGCGUGGAAUUGCAGGUGUAGCGGUGAAAUGCGUAGAUAUCUGCAGGAACACCCGUGGCGAAAGCGGCGCGCUGGACCACUACUGACGCUGAGGAACGAAAGCUAGGGGAGCAAACAGGAUUAGAUACCCUGGUAGUCCUAGCCCUAAACGAUCAGGACUUGGGGUGCCACCCGUUCGGGUGUCGUCCCGGAACUAACGCGUUAAGUCCUGCACCUGGGGAGUACGGUCGCAAGACUG